rnacentral:rRNA from 1 species
GUCCACGCCCUAAACGAUGUCAACUAGGUGUUGGGAGGGUAAAACCUUUUAGUACCGGAGCUAACGCGUGAAGUUGACCGCCUGGGGAGUACGGCCGCAAGGUUAAAACUAAAAGGAAUUGACGGGGACCCGCACAAGCGGUGGAUGAUGUGGAUUAAUUCGAUGCAACGCGAAAAACCUUACCUACCCUUGACAUGUCCAGGAGCCUGAAGAGAUUUGGGUGUGCCCGAAAGGGAACUGGAACACAGGUGCUGCAUGGCUGUCGU